rnacentral:rRNA from 1 species
UACGUAGGUGGCGAGCGUUGUCCGGAUUUACUGGGCGUAAAGAGCGCGCAGGCGGUCGUUCAAGUCGCGUGUGAAAGCCCCCGGCUCAACUGGGGAGGGUCACGCGAUACUGAUCGACUCGAAGGCAGGAGAGGGAAGUGGAAUUCCCGGUGUAGCGGUGAAAUGCGUAGAUAUCUGGAGGAACACCGGUGGCGAAGGCGGCAUUCUGGACCACAACUGACACUGAGAGACGAAAGCCAGGGGAGCAAACGGG